CGAAAUGCGAUAAGUAAUGUGAAUUGCAGAAUUCCGUGAACCAUCGAAUCUUUGAACGCAAAUUGCGCUCGAGGCCUCGGCCAAGAGCAUGUCUGCCUCAGCGUCGGCUGUUACUCUGGCUUACACCUCCCAGACAGAGGUGGUUAGGACUUGACCGUCCGACAAGCCUCGGGCUUGCCGGUCAGUUGAAAUACAAUCACGCUUCGGGGGGCCUUUCCGUAGAAGGAAAGGCGAGUUCCGAUUUGGUAGGUGACCCUUGCCGGUUGCAUGCCUACGACGCUCGCUAUGCCCUUCGUGAGAUGCGUGCAGGACGCUUUUUGGCUUUCGACCUGAGGUCAGGCAAGAACACCCGCUGAACUUAAGC
rnacentral:misc_RNA from 1 species